rnacentral:rRNA from 1 species
UACGGGGGGGGGCAAGCGUUGUUCGGAAUCACUGGGCGUAAAGGGUGCGUAGGCGGGUUUUUAAGUCAGGGGUGAAAUCCUGGAGCUCAACUCCAGAACUGCCUUUGAUACUGAAGAUCUCGAGUCCGGGAGAGGUGAGUGGAACUGCGAGUGUAGAGGUGAAAUUCGUAGAUAUUCGCAAGAACACCAGUGGCGAAGGCGGCUCACUGGCCCGGUACUGACGCUGAGGCACGAAAGCGUGGGGAGCAAACAGG